AAAUUGAAGAGUUUGAUCAUGGCUCAGAUUGAACGCUGGCGGCAGGCCUAACACAUGCAAGUCGAACGGUAACAGGAAGAAGCUUGCUUCUUUGCUGACGAGUGGCGGACGGGUGAGUAAUGUCUGGGAAACUGCCUGAUGGAGGGGGAUAACUACUGGAAACGGUAGCUAAUACCGCAUAACGUCGCAAGACCAAAGAGGGGGACCUUCGGGCCUCUUGCCAUCGGAUGUGCCCAGAUGGGAUUAGCUAGUAGGUGGGGUAACGGCUCACCUAGGCGACGAUCCCUAGCUGGUCUGAGAGGAUGACCAGCCACACUGGAACUGAGACACGGUCCAGACUCCUACGGGAGGCAGCAGUGGGGAAUAUUGCACAAUGGGCGCAAGCCUGAUGCAGCCAUGCCGCGUGUAUGAAGAAGGCCUUCGGGUUGUAAAGUACUUUCAGCGGGGAGGAAGGGAGUAAAGUUAAUACCUUUGCUCAUUGACGUUACCCGCAGAAGAAGCACCGGCUAACUCCGUGCCAGCAGCCGCGGUAAUACGGAGGGUGCAAGCGUUAAUCGGAAUUACUGGGCGUAAAGCGCACGCAGGCGGUUUG
rnacentral:rRNA from 1 species